AUGGCCGGCGGGGAGGAGAGGCCGCCGGGGCUGGCGCCAGGGGUUGCGUCGAGUUUCGAGUUUGCGCUCAAUUCCGCGGCGUUUUCCGAUCGAGUUCUGCGCCUCGAGAUAGCGGCCGAGGAUUGCGAGGCGCCGUUCGUCGGCGAAGGAUCGCCCUGCGACUCGCCGCGUAGCAUAUUCGAGACGGGGCUCGGCUUGGGAGGUACCUCGGCCAAGUCGGUGCGACCUCGCAAGCGCCGCAGACAAGACGACGAAUCUGCACCUCGCAGCUCUGAGGUUGAAUCAGAUGGAAAUAAUUUAGCUGUCAUUGGUGAACAUGGUGAUUCCACUGGCAGACCUGUUUUAAGAGUAAAGCAUAUUCACGUCAGCUCCCUGCUACUCGCUUCUAAAAGCCCGUACUUUUACAAGCUCUUCUCGAACGGAAUGCAAGAAUCAAACCUCAAGGAAAUAACACUAAGGAUUAUGGACUAUGAGGAUGAAGCCUUCCCAGAGCUUUUGCACUUCAUUUACAGUGGAACAAUUAAGACAAGCGAUCCUGUCCUGGUUCUCAAAGUUAUGUGUGUUGCUGAUAGAUUUGAGGUUGUCGAUUGCAUGAGCUAUUGUACCCAGCUGUUGAUUAGUCUACCCAUGACAAAAGAAUUAGCUUUUGUGUAUCUUGAAUAUGAGUGCUCAGUCCCAAUGUCAGAUGUCCUUCAGCCUGUGAAAGCAGCAGCCCAGGAAUUUCUGGCUGACAAGUACAAAAACCUGUCAAUGUCUGAAACUGAGUUUCUGGAAAUGCCACUAUCAGGAAUUAAAGCUAUAUUCUCAAGCAACAACUUGAAGGUUUUUUCAGAGGACUUGGUCUUGGCUUUUCUGCUCAAGUGGGCUCUUGCCAAUUACCCAGAAACAGUAGAAAGGCGUAGGAUCUUGAUCAACCAUUUGCUUCCAAUGGUGCGUUUCAAUCAGAUGAGUUGUGGAAAAUUGCGAUGGCUUUUGUCUUGUUCGCAUUUGGACGCUCGUCAUUCUGCAUAUAUUGUGGCUUCAGCUCUUCUGUACAAGUACAGUUCACCACACAGAGUCCUUCCUGCCAUAUCAGAUAUCCAUUGCAGUUUUUUGGAGCGGACAUACAAGCACAAACCAGUGAAGACCAUUGAAUUGGAGCGUCCCCAUAACCGAUGUAUUGCUUAUAUGGAUCUCAAAUCUGAGGAGUGCAGCAAUCUCUCUCCAUCCAGAAGUAUCAGGUCACAAGCAUUCGACUUUGCAGGGCACUCCUUUUUCCUCAUUGUACAGCGCACUGUUAAUGCUCAACUGGGGAUUCACUGUUUCGGACUGUAUUUGGCAGUCGAAAAAGGAGUAUCAGUGCCAAUAACCAUAGAGUUCGAAUUUGCAGCGAGAACAAAAGCUGUUGGUGACUUUGUGUCUAACUUCAGACAUAUCAAGACAUUCACCAGCGAAAGUAAUCAACUAGGAUCCCGAGAUCUCUUUAACAUGUCCUGGGGUCAGGUCUUUUCUGAAGCAAGUCAAUUUUUACUUGAUGACAUGUUAUAUCUUCGAGCUGAGCUGACUGUAAGGCAACCUUAG
rnacentral:rRNA from 1 species